UCACUGACAUGCGCAAAUAGGCUUACUGACAGACAAAACUCUCUGACUCACACACAAGCUUACUGCAGACACUCAAUUGUAUAAACAGAAGGCUCACUACAAAGAAGUUCAGGGACACACACACAAGCUCACUGACACACACAUGCUCACUAAAUAGAAGCUCACUGACACACACAAGCAGUACCAUUUUAACCAUUAAGGCCCCUGGGCAAAGCAAUGCACUGGAGCCCUUCCUACACAACUCACAGGAAUUUUAAUUAUUGAUAGACUGCUGUGUCCAUACACACACACACACACAGACUGCUGAGUCCAUACACACACACAGACUCUGCUGAGUCCAUACACACACACACACACACACACACAGACUCUGCUGAGUCCAUACACACACACACAGACUCUGCUGAGUCCAUACACAAACACACACUCUGCUGAUUCCAUACACAAACACACAAAGACUGCUGAGUCCAUACACACACACACAGACUCUGCUGAGUCCGUAC